rnacentral:rRNA from 1 species
AGUGAACGCUGGCGGCAGGCCUAAUACAUGCAAGUCGAACGGCAGCACAGUGGAGCUUGCUCCAUGGGUGGCGAGUGGCGGACGGGUGAGGAAUACAUGGGAAUCUGCCCAGUCGUGGGGGAUAACGUAUGGAAACGUACGCUAAUACCGCAUGCGCCCUUCGGGGGAAAGUCGGGGACCGCAAGGCCUGACGCGAUUGGAUGAGCCCAUGUUCGAUUAGCUAGUUGGCGGGGUAACGGCCCACCAAGGCGACGAUCGAUAGCUGGUCUGAGAGGAUGAUCAGCCACACUGGAACUGAGACACGGCCCAGACUCCUACGGGAGGCAGCAGUGGGGAAUUUUGGACAAUGGGCGCAAGCCUGAUCCAGCAAUGCCGCGUGCAGGAAGAAGGCCUCGGUUGUAACUGCUUUGUCUAGGAAGAAAUACUUCUGGCUAAUACCCGGAGGAUGACGGUACCUGAAGAAUAAGCACCGGCUAACUACGUGCC